rnacentral:rRNA from 1 species
UACGUAGGGGGCAAGCGUUAUCCGGAUUUACUGGGUGUAAAGGGAGCGUAGACGGCGAUGCAAGUCUGAAGUGAAAGGCCGGGGCCCAACCCCGGGACCGCUCUGGAAACUGCCCGGCUGGAGUGCGGGAGAGGUAAGCGGAAUUCCUAGUGUAGCGGUGAAAUGCGUAGAUAUAUGGAAGAACACCAGUGGCGAAGGCGGCUCUCUGGUCUGCAACUGACGCUGAGGCUCGAAAGCAUGGGUAGCGAACAGG